GAGGAGAAAUCUAUGCAAAUUUUUAUACUUGAGGGGUAUAACUUUUCUAGUUUCUUGGGAAGAUUGAGGGGUUACUUUGGUGGUCUUCUUGCCGUGUUUAUGAUUUAUUUAGUCCUAAUUUUUCAAAAAAUAAAUAAAAGAGUAAGACUCAAAUAUGGCUUUGUGCACAACAAUUGGAAGGUAAGAUGUGAUCUAAAAUACACAUUGAUGAAACAUGUUUAAAAUGUGCAGCUGAAAUUGGUGAAAUAUUUGCCAACUAUAGAAGCCUCGAUAUACUUAUCUCUCAACAACCAGAAACACCUACAAGUGGUUUAUUUUUUAUGAUACCUUGUCAAACUCUUAGAAAGUUUAAGAAGGAUGGACACGUGGAGCAAAAAGGAUGGAAAGACUAUUCAGGAAUCUCAUGUCAACCUCAAGGCCCAUAGAAGAAAAACCCUGAAGAAAUCCAGAUGCAGCAAAGGGAGAAAGUGAACCUGGCAUGUACAUGUCAGCAGCUCUAAAUAAUGACACACGACCUAAGACUGGGAUGGAAAUACAGGCGGCUAUGAGAAUUAAAAUGGGAGUGGGAGAGCAUUGCUGUGUAGAAAGAAUCAUGUAGAAAAAUUUGUAUUGAGAGUUUAUUUUUGUGGGGAGUACUGGCCUCUCAUAUUAGCCAGCUUAGUAUUUUCAUCUUCGUAUUGGAGUGUGUUUUUUCUUAAGCAGUUUCCAGUUUAUUCCUAUUGACAGCAUUGUAAUGAAAUGAAUUGAGGAGUGAUUGAAUAUUACAUUGAUAAAUGAAAGAAACAUUUUCUGAUAA